rnacentral:rRNA from 1 species
UGGGGAAUAUUGCACAAUGGGGGAAACCCUGAUGCAGCGACGCCGCGUGGAGGAAGAAGGUCUUCGGAUUGUAAACUCCUGUCCUUGGGGACGAUAAUGACGGUACCCAAGGAGGAAGCACCGGCUAACUACGUGCCAGCAGCCGCGGUAAAACGUAGGGUGCAAGCGUUGUCCGGAAUUACUGGGUGUAAAGGGAGCGCAGGCGGAUCGACAAGUUGGGAGUGAAAACUACGGGCUCAACCCGUAACCUGCUUUCAAAACUGUCGGUCUUGAGUGGUGUAGAGGUAGGCGGAAUUCCCGGUG